CCAAAAUAAAAACUAUUCAAGAAGUCAGCUGCUGCUAUAAAGGUCAUCUGGAAAGUCCAGGGAAGGGCCCUGAGCUGCUGCUGGGAAAGGGAAAUUGUCCUCUGGCCCGUGAUCUGGCGUGUUUGUCUGCUGAGUGGCUUUAGUGGUUUCAUCUAUUGCUGAAGAGCCAAGAGAAAGGAAUAAAACAGGAUUGUAAUCCACACCACAAUGAGCAAGAUGAGAAGAUCAGCCAAAGAACACAGUGAAGUAAACAAAGGAGUCUUUUACUAAAGCUGAUUGAGAAUAGAGUGCCAAGGAAAAGGGAAAGCUGAGUUUGCCUGGAAGGAUAAAACAAUAAUGCUGACUAAAUGCCUCACCUCCUAUCAUCUUCAAAGCCACAUGAGGUACACAGGGAAGAAGCUUUUCUCCUUAAUGAAUUAAAAAUGAUUGGAGGUGGUUUACAAAGAUUGCGCCUAAAGG